GAGGUUUUAUUCUGCCGGCAGACAAUUAGCUAGAUGGCCGCAGUAUCGUCGUUGUUUGAUGAAAUCUAGCCCACUGAUAUCGCAAAAUCAUCUGGUGUUGAAGAAACAUCGUUGACUGCUUAUAGGAUUUCGGAGGACGAUCUCAUCUCAGUCUUAUGGAGUUGCUGGAAGGUGUUGAUCGUCAAUUCAAAAAACUUUGGUGGCUUCUUAAGAGAUCUAUGAUGGAUUGUUUGAAAAUUUACACUCUUUUGUGAAAAGAUAUAUGGCAGGUAACGAAACUGAGUCAUGCCAUUAUAUGUGAACGAUCAGAGCUUUGAGACAAAAGUCAAUAAUAAACAAAGUACUGUAGUCAAACUAGCUUUACACUCAUCGGUCACAUUAGAAAGCAAUUGAGACAAAAGCUCUUGCAGCCUCCACCCUCUGAAAAUCUUUUUUCCAGGAAGAGACUUUUUGAUUCUUUUUUUGGAUACAUUGACCAGUUUUGGUGUUCACCGCUUCUAUAGAACUUCCCAUAGUAAUACCAUAUAACAUUUGGCAUAUCUUUAUCCCCCAUGAACUUGUUCACAACGCGAAGAUUCUUGCCAAAUAUAUAUAAACCAAUAAUAAAACUAUCAUGUUCAAUCGCGCUCCAACAUUCUUCACUUGAUGAACACGGAACUGAAACCAAACCAUUGUUUGUUUCACAACCUACAUUACAAAACUCACCCUUUCUCACCCUUUCUCCCCAUUUCCCACCAAACCCUUCACCUUUCUCACGGAUUCUCCCCCAAAUCGGUUCAUUCUCAUCAAUUUCACCAAAUUCUCCUAUAAAUCGAUAAAUCCGCCCACCCACCACAUCUUCGAUCAAGACGAAGUCACUUCGAGUUGAAAUGAAGCCACAGAUCAAGACGACGGACACGAAGACAAUGGCGGUGAUGAUAACAUGAUGUAGUUUUACACGUUUUAUGCAAUGUUAUGAUGUUAAUAUGUGAAUUAAAUGAAUAACUUUUAAGUAGGUUUAGGAUGUUUAUAUAAUUAUUAUGUUUAUGUAGUUUGUUUGUGAGUUGAGAAGAAAAAACUGGAAAUUGGCAGGUUUUGUGUAUCGUUGAAAACCGGAAAUUAUUUUAAAUGCAAAAAAAAAAAAA